CUCAUCCGGUGUAACCUCAAAUCAUUAGCUGAUGUAUCAGAGCGUUUGGCGGUACAGGGCCAUACCGACCCUAUUGAUAGAAUCUAGCUUCACAGUUUUUGCAGAUGCAGCAGCGUGGGCUUAUACGUUUUAGCUGCUGGAGCGUACAUGGAUUUUGAUUAGAUUAUUCUUGCAAUGGCUAUUUCUCAUUGUGAAGAACCAGUACUGAUUCUGGCCGUGCAAGAUAUUGAGCCUUGUAAAUAUUUGCUACUGGAUGAGCUUUCGUAAGUCAUAAGAUCAUAUCCUACCCUACUGUGGCAAAGGCGUGCUAUACACUCGUCUCAUCUAGAGGCUGAUGUGCUAAUAGUAUUAUCUUAUCCCCUAGAACUGUAACUGUGCCUUUUUUGUUUUUGUACCUGUACAAGAAAAAAGUUCCUUGUUUGUUGUUGUAUCUUUUAUCCUUCGCUCUGUGUUGUAUAUGAUUUCAUGGUGCAUUAUUUGUUUACAAGAACAUGUGGAUUUGUGAAGCA
rnacentral:misc_RNA from 1 species